rnacentral:lncRNA from 1 species
AUACUCCCGUAGCCCAUGUUUAAGAGAGAGAAAAAGAAUGAGAAAGGAUGGGGAUAGGAAGGAAAUGAGGGAAAGGAAAAAGAGAGCAAUAAUUAUACUUCCUCCCACCUCCAUUUCUCCUGCAACGAAAUCAGCAGAAAAUAGGGAGAGAAGAGAGAAAGGAGAGAGGAAGAAAGAAGAAUAUGAAACCAUGGAAGCAUGAAGGUAGAAUAUAAACUCAAAAGGUAAAACCAAAACUUUUCAUCUCUUUAAUUUUUUAGGAGUUUGAUUUGUUGAAAGUUGAGUUAUAGGGGAUCAUAAUGGAUCCAAAGUAAUAAGGAAGUAUAUGAUAAAGAUUUUAUGUUUAAUCCAUGUCAUAAUAGAAUUUAAGAUCAAAAAGUUGGGCAUAUGUUUGAGGAUGAACAAAAGUUAUGUUGAGGACUUAAAUCAAACUUAUAAAAGUGUUGAUGGUUGAUCUAUGUGUAAAAUCUGAGGAGGAGGAUCUAUAGAUUAAGAAGUUAUGGAAAUAUUCCAAUUUGAAUGGACUAAAAAUGAUUUAAAUCGAAGUAGUGGUGAAAGUUUUCGUAAAACAUGUUAAGCGAUGAAAAACUUAGUCUUGGGGGACUUUUGAGCCAGAUUUUGGAAUAAUUAUUGAAUCUAAAAUAUUAUGAAAUCAUGGGAGUUUUGUAGAGCAUGUUAUAAGCUUUCCAUACCCUCGAAAAUGGACAAAUUCAGAUAACGGAUGAAGAAGUUAUGAAGAUUUGAAGUAUGUGUGUUAAAAGUUGCAAAAUCUGGAAAAUUAGAGUUAAGUGUCAAGGGUCGAGCUCCUAGGCGCUAGGCUCAGCACUUAGAUUCUGUUAUUGGGCACCUUGGCACUUGCCCAAGGCCAAAGUUGGGCGCCUAGGCACUGGUCUAGUGUUAAACCAAAAUCUAUCCGGACGUCCUUUAGUAAAUUAGGCAUAACUUUUUCAUACGAAUUCCGAUUGAGGCGAUUCAAGAUGAUCCGGAACGAGGAUGAAUAGACCUAUAAUUUUUGUUCUUUAUUUUUUUCAAUUUGAGGUUGUUAGUAGGUGUCAAAAUGGUUAUCUUUGGGACUGUUGUGUUUUUGGAGGCAAUCGGAGGACGUCGGGCAUGCACGUAUGCAACGUGUAAUGUUUUCGACGAUAAAGGAUGUUGUUCUAAGUUGCAAAACAUGAACAUUAUUAAAUAUAAUGAUAUUAUGCAAAGACAACUUAAAUGAAUAAUGAUUUAUUAGUUGAUGUAUAUGUUAUUCGAGAUAAUUAUGAUUUGAUGUUGAUCCUUACUUUUAAUAGAAUUUAAAUUGUUUAUAAGUAAGGUAUUGAUUUGAUUCUUACGUAAGAAGUAACUCGGUAUUUAUUUCAAUAAUUACCACAGUAGUUAUUACACAGUGACUCAUAUUAUUUGAUAUGAUAUAAUUAAACCAGUUGGAAAUAUUGAGAGUCUAUGUUAAUAAUUGUGAAUAAUGGUUCAAAGAUUGAAAAGGGUGUUGAUUAAAGAUAAGUAUGAUAUACAGAUGUUUAUUCAAUUAUUUUUUUUUUUACAAAAGUAAGUUUGGCAGGACUUGCCGACACUCUACAUUUUCUAAAGUAGUCUGGACCACAACUCAAUUAUUUUUAAAACGUGUACAAGUUGGUUUAAUUUUCUCUGUGGGACCAUAAAUUCCACUACCAUUAUUAUAUACCUCAUUUGGUUAUUUUUUUCAGAGGAGGUGUGCUAGUUGUUUACUAAAUUUUCAGUAUAAAUAGGUUGCCCGGUUGAGCAACUAAACACACACCAUCACUACACUAAAAAUAUAGAAUUCUUUGACUACAAUAUUGUGAGUAUAAUAUUGUGAGUAUUUCUAUUGAGUGUAAUGUUACUCCAAGUGUAGAUAAGGAAUGCAAGCAUUGUUUAUGUUGAUCAAUUUCAUAGAAAGCAGAAUCAGAACACAUGCUAAGGUAAGGGAUAUCAUUAUUGUGGUAAGAGGGUAUCAUUUUUAUGGUAAAAGGAUUAUCAUUUUCUUUCAUACUUCAUGUUAUGGUAAGAUAUUAUUAUUCGUUUAUUCAGUUUAUCAUUAAAUGGUGAAAAGUCCUGGAAGGAUUAGAAUAUCCUUAAUAGUUGUGAUUCAUCUAUUAUUAUGUUAUCAAUUUGGACUCUGGAUAAUUAAGUUGAAAAUUGCUAAGAUUUAUGUUAUCUUAUUAUUCUGAUGAUGUAUGUUUAUUCAUUAUAUAUAUAUAUAUAUAUAUAUAUAUAUAUAUAUAUAUAUAUAUAUAUNNNNNNNNNNNNNNNNNNNNNNNNNNNNNNNNNNNNNNNNNNNNNNNNNNNNNNNNNNNNNNNNNNNNNNNNNNNNNNNNNNNNNNNNNNNNNNNNNNNNGGGAUUAUUCGGUAUAAUCAUGACCGUAAUUGAAAACACGAAUAUCCUUGGCCCAUAGUGCAUGGAUAAUUCGUGGUCGUGAUACUAUUAAGCUGAGUCUCAGCAUUAUUGGUUUUACAGUUGUAUAUCUUUGGCAUGUAGUGCAAAGAUGAACUGUUGGUUAUUGGUUUUACAGUUGUAUAUCUUUGGCAUGUAGUGCAAAGUUGGACUGUUGAUUUACUUGAUUAUAAAUAUGAAUUGUGAUUUAAUUAUAAUCUGUGGUGGUUCAGGUGAAGACAGGUGAUGAGAGUUCUUUUUGUCUUGGGUAUAACAAAGAACUGUUGAUGAGUAUUACAGGAAUGAAAUAUUAACGAUGGACUUUUAAUCUAGAGGAGAUAGUAGACAUUAUGUUCAACUUGACUCUUCUAAUAGAUUGUUCAUUCUGCUGCUAUUAUGGUUGAAAACUUUUAUCUUCUACCAUAUGUUCUAAAUAUCUGAAUUCUUUUGAUAAUUUAAUUAUCUUAAGUCACGAUAUUCUUUACUGAGCUAUUUGUGCUCACCCUUUUACUUUACCACCUCUUUCAGGUAAUAAAUGUGUAGCUGGGACUAGCAGAGAGAACAUGGAUAUAAAGUGGUGAUACAAAUUAGUCACAAGCCUAAUCAAAUUAUGAAACGGUGUGGCAUAAUAAUUGUACUAAGAACUUAAAAUGUGUGUGACAUGUUUUAUACAUCAUUUGAUAUUUAAUUUUGAUGAACUAUAAUAGGGUGAGGCGAAUCAGAAUUUGAAAACGUCAAAGGUGCACUCCAUUAGAAUGAGAAGAACGGAAAUCUUCUCGUGUUCCUUCGGGGACUUGAUAUAUUUGUUGUUGUACUUUAUAUGGCAUUGUAAUAACUUAAAUAUGAAUAUUGUCAUAUUAUAUACGUAACAAUAUUUGUAUUGAAACUCACAUUAUAUGAGUCAUUGUAUUUUGCACGACAAUUAUAUAAAUGGAGUUGUAAGUAGUGUAUUUUCUAGCGACCCAAGAUGGGUGAUGUAUACCUAUUUUGGGGGCGUCACUGGAUCAGUAGACAGCCAGGAAUGUUUUAUGAUCAAGUGCGGGAAACUAUGAGUUUAAGCCAAAUGAGAUGGA